rnacentral:rRNA from 1 species
GGCAAUGGGCGGCUGCUAUACAUGCAGUCGAGCGGACAGAAGGGAGCUUGCUCCCGGAUGUUAGCGGCGGACGGGUGAGUAACACGUGGGUAACCUGCCUGUAAGACUGGGAUAACUCCGGGAAACCGGAGCUAAUACCGGAUAGUUCCUUGAACCGCAUGGUUCAAGGAUGAAAGACGGUUUCGGCUGUCACUUACAGAUGGACCCGCGGCGCAUUAGCUAGUUGGUGAGGUAACGGCUCACCAAGGCGACGAUGCGUAGCCGACCUGAGAGGGUGAUCGGCCACACUGGGACUGAGACACGGCCCAGACUCCUACGGGAGGCAGCAGUAGGGAAUCUUCCGCAAUGGACGAAAGUCUGACGGAGCAACGCCGCGUGAGUGAUGAAGGUUUUCGGAUCGUAAAGCUCUGUUGUUAGGGAAGAACAAGUGCAAGAGUAACUGCUUGCACCUUGACGGUACCUAACCAGAAAGCCACGGCUAACUACGUGCCAGCAGCCGCGGUAAUACGUAGGUGGCAAGCGUUGUCCGGAAUUAUUGGGCGUAAAGGGCUCGCAGGCGGUUUCUUAAGUCUGAUGUGAAAGCCCCCGGCUCAACCGGGGAGGGUCAUUGGAAACUGGGAAACUUGAGUGCAGAAGAGGAGAGUGGAAUUCCACGUGUAGCGGUGAAAUGCGUAGAGAUGUGGAGGAACACCAGUGGCGAAGGCGACUCUCUGGUCUGUAACUGACGCUGAGGAGCGAAAGCGUGGGGAGCGAACAGGAUUAGAUACCCUGGUAGUCCACGCCGUAAACGAUGAGUGCUAAGUGUUAGGGGGUUUCCGCCCCUUAGUGCUGCAGCUAACGCAUUAAGCACUCCGCCUGGGGAGUACGGUCGCAAGACUGAAACUCAAAGGAAUUGACGGGGGCCCGCACAAGCGGUGGAGCAUGUGGUUUAAUUCGAAGCAACGCGAAGAACCUUACCAGGUCUUGACAUCCUCUGACAACCCUAGAGAUAGGGCUUUCCCUUCGGGGACAGAGUGACAGGUGGUGCAUGGUUGUCGUCAGCUCGUGUCGUGAGAUGUUGGGUUAAGUCCCGCAACGAGCGCAACCCUUGAUCUUAGUUGCCAGCAUUCAGUUGGGCACUCUAAGGUGACUGCCGGUGACAAACCGGAGGAAGGGGGGGAUGACGUCAAAUCAUCAUGCCCCUUAUGACCUGGGCUACACACGUGCUACAAUGGGACAGAACAAAGGGCUGCCAAACCCCCAAGGUUUAACCAAUCCCCCAAAUUUGUUCUUCAUCU